rnacentral:lncRNA from 1 species
AAGAUAAUAAGUCGCCUUCUGGCAAUAACUACUAUGAAAAGUCAUUAGGAUCAAGUCAUAUUAUCUUUCUUACUGCCUGAUGAAUUGAAGCAAUUUCGGUUUGUCGGGUUUUCCAAAUAACAAUAAGAGCAUGCACUAGACUUUUAAUGUAACACAUUCAUUAGGAUUUUUUACUUCUACUGGACAGAUAAAAGCAUGCAAUGUUGGUGCAAAGAAAAGAUGAGCUGCCAUGCAAUGGGUUCAAGUGUACAAAGAUGAUAUUUUAUUAAAUGAAUUUAGUAUUUAAUUUCUGAAAGUUCUGACAGAAGAAUAUCUAAAAUAGAUGGUUAAAACUCCUUACACAGAGCAGAACUUUAAGUCUGCUCUGAUAUUUUAAUUAGGAGGAGAUCAAACAGCUCUAGUCUUUUUACUCAAGCGAUGUGUAGUGAGAACCUAUCAAAUAAAACUUGAACCGUAGUCCUGACCUAUAGAAGAGGCUUUCUACAAGUAAGAAGAACAUUCAUGAAGUCCGUAUACCUUCAUGACAACAGAACUAGUCUUCAUCAAGUCAUUAAAAUCACAUGACUUGCACAGAAUCAUACUUUAUUAGAGGGAUCAUGUGCUUAGUCCUCGACUUCGUUUUUGAGAUACUACAAAUUAUUAUUGAUUCACUUGAUGUAGAGGUAUGAGGGCUUCAACCUUCCAACACCAAAUGAAAACUCAUGCGUGGAGGAAAAAAGUGUCAAGAUUAGAGGGGCCAGAACACAGGGAUCAAGAAGGUGAUCACUAGCCUAACAUUGAAAGUCUCAGGGGGGGAGUGGCUGUAGACAUCUCCCCUAGAGACUUGCGACUGAAUUCUAUCUUCACCGGGGUUGGAGGUAGUGUUCAUGGCUGCCUUUGGACCAGAGGAAAAAGGAAAGAAUAAAGGGACACUAAUGCUAGUGUCAUAUAAGUUAUCUAGUAGAUGCAAAAUAGGGUCACCUACAGUUGUAAUCAAGACAACUUUGCCAUGAAUGAUCUAUAUGCUAAUCCGCCUCAAAUGCUGAAUCAUGUCCGAAAUGUGAUUGCUGCAAGAACAGGUACAAUGUUGCCACAUUCAAUAGAAAGCUGUCAUGAACUGCAUAAUCAGCUGACAUGCAGAUGAAAGCUUCAAGCCUAAGUUCAGAAUUCAUAAAUUAAUUUACUGAAGUUGGAACUGGCUACACACAUUGUUCGAGUUACCUUAGCUUGAUGGAAUCUUUCAAGCACGCGGUGAUAUUGUUCACGUACUUCGGGAGACUCCACCAUUCAUCACUACCUUCACAACUAAAUUUCGUAAGUUCAAUCUAAUUUAGUAAAUUGCUAUGGUAGCAUUGCUGCAUUGUGUAGCUCUCAUUCCUUUCUUCUUUCUUUUGAUGUCACAAACAACGCAUUUGAUGGCCAGAUUCCAAGAGAGUUGGGAUUUUCACCUUCUCUUCAAAGGCUUCGGCUAGGGAUCAACCAUUUCACAGGGGCAAUCCUCAGGACCCUGGGAGAAAUCUACCAACUUUCACUUGUGGAUUUCUCAGGCAAUUCGCUCACUGGAUCAGUACCAGCUGAGCUUUCAUUGUGCAAGAAACUGACCCAUAUUGAUCUCAAUAACAACUUUCUUUCUGGGCCAAUCCCAUCCUGGCUUGGAAGUUUGCCCAAUUUAGGAGAGCUCAAACUCUCCUUCACUUUAUUUUCUGGGCCCCUUCCUCACGAACUAUUUAAGUGCUCCAAUCUGCUGGUUCUUUCACUUGAUAACAAUCUCCUUAAUGGGACUCUGCCUCUGGAAACCGGUAAUCUUGCAUCCCUUAAUGUUCUCAACCUCAACCAAAACCAAUUUUAUGGACCAAUUCCUCCUGCCAUAGGUAACUUAAGCAAGCUUUAUGAACUUCGUCUCUCAAGAAACAGCUUUAAUGGUGAAAUACCUAUUGAGCUUAGAGAACUCCAGAAUCUUCGAAGUGUUUUAGACCUCAGUUACAACAAUCUUACUGGGGAAAUCCCACCUUCUAUUGGAACACUGUCCAAACUGGAGGCGCUUGAUCUAUCUCACAAUCAACUUGGUGAAAUCCUAUUCCAAGUGGGUGCGAUGAGUAGCUUGGGCAAGCUUAACUUCUCCUAUAACAACCUUGAGGGCAAAUUGGACAAGGAAUUCUUGCACUGGCCAGCAGAGACGUUCAUGGGAAACCUGCGUCUUUGUGGAGGGCCUCUCGGCCGCUGCAACAGUGAGGAAUCCAGUCAUCAUAACUCAGGCCUAAAGUUAUCAUCUGUGGUGAUAAUAUCAGCAUUUUCAACCAUUGCUGCAAUUGUUCUACUGAUGAUUGGAGUUGCCCUGUUUCUUAAAGGCAAGCGGGAGUCCCUCAACGAAGUGAAGUGUGUUUACUCUUCCAGUUCUUCCAUAGUACACCGAAGACCACUCCUCCCCAACGCUGCUGGGAAGCGAGAUUUCAAAUGGGGAGACAUUAUGCAAGCUACAAACAAUCUGAGUGACAAUUUUAUAAUUGGCUCAGGAGGGUCUGGAACGAUCUACAAGGCUGAGUUAUCCAGUGAAGAAACAGUGGCAGUGAAGAAGAUACUGAGGAAAGAUGAUCUCCUGCUGAAUAAAAGCUUUGAAAGAGAAAUUAGGACCCUGGAAAGGGUUAGGCAUAGGCACCUAGCAAAGUUGCUGGGUUGUUGUGUCAACAAAGAAGCAGGCUUUAAUCUGUUGGUAUACGAGUACAUGGAGAAUGGAAGCUUAUGGGAUUGGCUGCACCCAGAAUCAGUGAGUAGCAAGAAAAGGAAGAGCCUUGACUGGGAGGCGAGGUUAAGGGUUGCAGCGGGAUUAGCUAAGGGAGUGGAGUAUCUCCACCAUGACUGUGUCCUCAGGAUCAUUCACAGGGACAUCAAGUCCAGCAAUGUGUUGCUUGACUCUAAUAUGGAGGCACAUUUGGGGGAUUUUGAGCUGGCAAAGACUCUGGUUGAGAAUCACAACUCCUUCAACACCGACUCAAACUCAUGGUUCGCUGGGUCUUACGGUUAUAUUGCUCCAGGUAUGUCAAGUGAACUAAUUUCUGCUUAAUUUAUAUUAGUAUUGAUUUUUGUCUUGUCGAGUGAUUCUAUUUAUUAGGCUAUUACCAACACUAACAAAAAAACAAUUGAAUGCUAUCAGAAUAUGCUUAUUCAUUGAAGGCAACGGAGAAGAGUGAUGUUUAUAGUAUGGGUAUCGUGCUGGUUGAGCUAGUGAGUGGAAAGAUGCCAACAGACGAAAUUUUUGGGACGGAUAAAAUGGUGAGGUGGGUUGAGUCGCACAUUGAAAUGGGAGAAUCGAGCCGAACGGAGUUGAUUGAUUCAGCAUUGAAGCCAAUUCUACCAGAUGAAGAAUGCGCAGCAUUCGGAGUGCUUGAGAUCGCACCGCAAUGCACAAAAACUACCCCAGCAGAAAGGCCGUCUUCUCGCCAAGUUUGCGAUUCCCUAGUCCAUUUGUCCAACAAUAGAAAUAGAAUGGUGGGCUGCUAUAAGAACCCCCAUUGACUCUUCCAUACUUGCUUGUAUAGCUGAAUGGAGCGUUGGGAUGAUCAAACCGUAUAAAGACAAACAACCUCCCCUCCCAACCUCAUUCCAAUUUUAUGCUGAUUUGUUCUCAGCCAUGUCGUUCAAUGAACCAGCUACAGUGGGCUCCCAACCUCAUUCCAUUCUAUGCUGAUUUGUUCUCAGCCAUGUUGUUCAAUGACGCAGCUACAGGCAUCCACGGGAGAUGGAGUGGAAAAAUGUGAUGAAAGUGAUGAGAAAUAACAUUAGAAUUCGAGAUGAAAUGCUAUAUAUUUAAAUAUAUAUAGUUAGAAAAAUGAUUUUCUUGUAUGUUUUAUUUAUCAUGAAAAAUAUGAAAAAAAGAAACAAAGAGUUAUAUAUAAUUAAAAUUUUACAUACAUAUAGAAAAAUAAAUAAAUAAAAUAAACUUACAAAAAACAUAUAAAAAAUAGGGGCUCACAAUUCAGGUCAGUAAUAAGCUUAUCAUAAAUUCAUAAAAUCUUUUGUGGUAUCAAUUUAAGCAUCAUGCAUGUAAAACUAGCGCAGAGCAGAAUGAUUAUAUCCAAUACAGCAAACUGGUACUCGUCUCAUGAAGACAAAAGGUUUCGAUAGGUUCCAUCUCAAACUGACCGAAGCCUCACCCCAACCUUAAAAGCUUCAAAACCUAGAGCCUGAUAAAAGUUAUACAAACACCUUGCAUGGCAUACCCCAUAAUAAGGCUGUUGGUUGAAAUAGUUUUGCAGCCAUUAAAAUUAUUAAUUAAUUCCAAUUAUCACUCGCAGUCUUACAUUCGCCAAAAUGUCAUCAUAACUGCACUUCAACAAGCUGCCAGAUUGCAGAGAAGUGCCAACAGCCUUACCAAAAAAGAGCAACAAGAAAUAAAAGCAAAUAAGUGCGUCCAGGGCAACCCACAAGAACUGGUUUGGAAGCCACAUUUUUUACAAGCUUACCGCCAUUGGAAAAUAUCUUAUAGUCCUAGCCAACCUGACUGCUAAUCUUCGUCAGCAUCUGCAAUUGAAAGUCAAAAAAACAAUAAGGAAAGAACAGCAACUAAAAUAAUGAUAUAAUACACUGUCACAACCACUUGCAAACUAUAAUACAAAGUAUUUUAUUUACUAUUUUAAUUUUAAGAAACAUGGUAAAGUUCAUGAGGAGCAUUGGGAAGUUUGAAAAAAAAAAAAAAAAGGGUUGGUUUCCGUAAUUUUCUCUUGGGAAACAACAACCAAAAUUCUGGCAAAAAGUAAACCCAAGAAAGGUGCAUGUCAAUGCAGGUCUGCAUCAGAUAUAAAAGGGUACCAAGUGUUUUUUCUCAGCAGAUCUAACCUCAAGCAAUUUUGCAUAAGUGCCAAAAUUUUCUUUUUCCCACUUUUUCUCUUUAUUUGCUUCAAAAAGGAGUUUGGAGGGGUGGACUGAUAGCAUAACCUUCAGCAAUUUUGUAUGAAGCCCUUAUGUUGAGUGGACCCAGAAAAUGAAGAAAGGACACCAAGUGUUUCUUUCUCAACAAAAGAGAGAUGGAUUCCACACCCAAAAACUUAAGAAAGAAAGCAGGCCAAGUGUCUUUUCCCAAUAGAAGAGAGACUAAUCCACACUACCCUAAGUUUUCUCCCUUCCCAUCUCACAUGUACAAAGAAGCAGGUCAGGUGCUUUUUUUCCCCUUCAAUGGAAGAUUAAUUUAUUUUUGGCUGAGAGAAUACCUGAGAAAAAACAUUUGAGCCACUUCUCUGAAGUUUUUGUUUUCACUAUCUCUUUCAAUUUGCAUAAACAAAAAAAUUAGAAAAGUGACUCAAAUGUUUUUUCUCAGGUACUCUCUCAGCCAAAAAAUAAAUAAAUAAAGGAAAUCAGGCUAAAUAUUCUUUCCCCAUGGGAGAGCCCUCCCUCCCUCCCAUCUGGCAUGAGCAUAUAUUGGGUUAGCAAACCAAAUGUUUUUCUCAAGAGCUCUUCCUCUCGCUGAAGAAGCAGACAGUAUUUUUCUUCACUGUCUCUUAGACUCCCAUGGAAAAAAAAAAAAAAACUCCCUCUCUUCUUCCCUCUCCUCUCAGGCAUGGGCAUGAGGCAAAAGGUUAGCUCCCAAACCAAGUUCAUUUUUUCUUAAGAGCUGAAGAAAAGAAAAUCAAAUGCUUUGUCCACCAGCUCUCCCUCUCUUUUCUCCCAAUCAAUGUUUUUAAAAGUCUAAAGUCGGUCUUGAGGCGUUUCACCCAAAUGAGGUGAAGCGUAAUCCUCAAGGCAGAACAAGGCUUAAGCCUCAACUUUAAUAACAAUAAAAAGAAAAAAAUCUUGAAAUAAAAAAAUACUGAUAAAAUCACAUGAAAAUUAAAUAAUAUGAAAAUCAUAAAAUGUAUAAUAAUCAAAUUAAUUGUCAUUUUCAAUAGCUUCUAAUUUAGUUUUUUUUUUUUUUUUUUUUUUUUUUCUGUCUCUUCUAAGAUCCAACUAUCUCUCAUGCAUUUAUCAAAUUAUCUUCAAAACUACCAUCACUAUCACUAGUAGGAUCCUCUAAUGAAUUAUAAUUAUAUCCAAUUGUUCUAUUAUCCUCUCCAUCAAUGUUAAUGUUAAUGUUAAUCCAUUUGUCUUCUUUAUCCAUUAAUUAUAGUGAUCUUUUUUCCUUUAUCCAUCAAUAAUAAGAUAUUGAAUCAGUGAUUAUACAUAAACUCGAUCAGUACAGUGACCAACAAUUCUUUUAUUUCCCCUUCCCAAUCUCUUCCUUUCAUUUUCAUUUGAAGGAUUAAUUAGUAGUCAAUUAAGCCCUUAUUUUCUAAAAGGUUUAACCCUAAUCUCGGAUUCAAGAAAAAACUUAUAAAUCUAAAUCAUAAUACUGUAAAAGCACAAGUCACUACAACUAAUAAAUAUUGAGGCUUAAACCUCCUAACAAAUGUAUACAAAAAGUUGAUAAAGGCCUCAAACUCAUUAAAACCUUUUGAUUAUUUGAGGGCCUCGAGCUUAUAGCCUCGAGGCUAUAAGCUCAAGGCUAUAAGUCUCAAUCAAGUGAGGCUUAAGCUUUGAUUACCCUCUAUUGAAGCUAUAACCUCAAGGCUAAUUUGCAUAGCCUUAAAGCGAGCCUCAAGGCAUAAGCCUCAAUAAACACUGCUCCCAAUUAGCCCAAGGCUUCUUAAAACUGCAUUUUGAUGCUAACAAAACAUAGAGGUUGUCAUUUAAUAAAUUUUCUUUAAGUCAAUAUAAGUUCAAAAGAUCAGAGUGGUACCUAAAGUGGUAAUCAAGCCAAGGAUAUGGAGCUUCUAGAAGACAAGGUGGAAGAUCUUGUCUCUUAAUGAAAGUUUUUUUUAUUUUUAUUUUUAUUUUUUAUAAGGAUUUAAACCUACUAUGGUUUCUUUGUGACUAGUCUAUGUGCACUCAUUUGAGAAAUUUUGCAUCCAUUAACCCUAGUAUUGACAUAGACUUUGGACCUAUGACGAAUUGUCAACCAAGGCUUGUAAAAGCCUAAAUCAAUUUUUGACCAAUUUUUUCUGCACAUUGUCACCUUGGCUUUAUGGUCUUCACCUUGAACUUGAAUUCAACAAAUGUUUGCUUUGGAUCUUCCCCAACUUUGGCUCUAGAUCUUCUUCAACCUAGCUUUGAUACAACUUGUGCGCUAGUGGAAGCUUUCAUACUAUGCAAGUUUAAAGUAAAGAUCAAUCACAAACUACACAAGAGACUCCAUAUUUACAUGGUUUGAACAAGAUGUACUUCCAUGGGUGAUCCAUUGAUAUGAGGAUUCCAUUAUAAACCAAAUGAAUGGUUAUAUAAAUAAAACAAAAAUUGAACUUUGCUUUUAUACCUAUACCUAUACCUAACCUAAAACUUGAAUAAAACAUAUGUACGUUUCUAUGCUCCUCAUGAGUCAUGAAACAAAUCAAUGUUUCCACCCUCAUUCAAGCCAUGAAAUGAAUCCAUGUUUCCAUACUUUAUGAUGUAUCCCUUCUGUUUCUCAUAUCUAUCUCACCUUAUGAUUUUUCUCUUAAAGACCUAAAAUAUAUAUAUAGGUUCACAGGUUGCAUCCAGGAUUGAUUUUAGACCAUUCAUAAUCACUUUUGUAAUGAAUUUUUACAACUAAUUUGUUUGGUAAACUAAAAAUAAUAAUCUGACUCACUUUGGCAAUAAGUUUUGAGAAAUAUGUAAAAAGUAACUUUUCAAAAGUAAUUUUCCAAGAAUCUGGAUUUUUUAUUUUAAAAUACUUAUUAUAUCUUCAAACAAUAUCUUUUCAUGAUUUCUUUGCACCUUUUUUGUUCUUUCAUCCUUUUAUACUCCAAAACCUUACCUUUUGGGAUUUAUAUUUUAUACAGCUCAUUGUGAACUGGUAAAAAUAAAAAAAAUAAAAUCAUUCGUAUAAAUAUAUUCUUCAAUUCCAUUAAAAAUAACAAAAUAAGAGUAUUUAAAAUAUAUAUAUAUACUAAGAAUUGGUUUUAAAUAAUACAAUGAUUUAUUCCAUUAAAUGUUAAUUUUAUGUCAAAAUAAAAAAUGUUGAUUUAAUUAUUUAAUUAAAAACAUUAAAAAUUUGUUUUUAAAUCUUGUUUAAGUUUCUAAUAUAAAUAUCCCUAUUUUGGUCAUUACACAUGUUUACAAUAAUUUAAUAAUCUAGUUUAUUAAACACUUAAAUAAUACUUUUGAGACUCAUUGCACUUUUGAUAUUAUAACUUUGUCUCAACUGAUUUUUCUUUCAACACAACUAAAAGUUAUUUUCUUAAAAGCAACAAUAAUACCAAAUUAGCCCCAAAAGUGAUUCCUUGUCCAAUAAAUAAUCCUCUCUCUACAAAGAUUUCUAUUCUUAUAAGAAAAUCUCAAAACAAUUUCUCCUAUUACAAAAGAAAAACCUCUAAAGUAGCGCUUGUCCAUGAACAUUCUGAGAAAGUUCUCCAUGAGGAGCAAGGAAGGUGGUAGUUGCUGGUUCGCUAUGGAAUUGAAGUCUUUCAAGAUUUCGAUCAACAAUGUUGGGGGAAAGCUACAUAACAAAUUAUAAUAACAUAAAUUAAGGUUCCAAACCCAUAUUCUUUUCCCUCUGCAUUCUUAUUUUGCUGCUAAGGCAACUUAUCAACAGGAUGAUUCCGAUUGUAGUUGGAGUAUAAAUUUCAGUAAGGUAGUUUAAAAAUUACCAAUACAAUGCACAUUAUUCCAUUCAAAUAAAAGUUUUUUAGGAGAGUCUAAUCUUAACAACAUGUACAAAAUUUCGUCAAACUAGUAGAUUCCCCGUUUUAGAUGAAGAGAAAAAGGAAAUUUGAGAAAAAAAAAAAAAGGCCCCAAAUCAGAUAAAUGUUUGGAUCAGGAUUCAAGUCAAUAAAUAAUAAAAGAGAAAACCAGAUCUAGCAUAGGAUAUGGCUUAAUCAAUCUUUAGCUAAAGCCGAAGGAGUGAGAAAAUAAGAAGAAUAGAGAUUAGCAGCAUAGAAGAUAGAAAGAGUACCAAUAUAACGGCGCUCAUUGGCGGCUUUGGCCUUUUCGAGCAACUUAUCGAGAUCUUCUUCAACCUUAGCCUCCCAUUUGACCAACUGAUUCCCAAAAACAGCCCCAAUUCCAAUCGCCAACACGUGCUCCCAUGGAUCUGAAAUCAAAAACAAAUUUUGUAAAAUAAAAUAGAAUCAAAUCAAAUCAAAUAAUCAAAGAGUUGAAGACAACUCACGCCUCAUGAGAGGGAGUUUCCGAAGAGCAUUGGAGUGCAACUGGACUGAGAGUCCCAACACGGCCCCAACCACCGUUGCACUGAGAGGCAUCUCUCCUUCCUGUAUUCCCCGAAUCAUCGUCAAUUCAAAAUUUUAAUUACUUUUUUUUUUUUUCCAUAUUUUCUCCGUAUCAAAACUAAAUAUGUUUUUAUACAAGAAAAAUUCCCAACUAACAAAGACUGUUAAUCUAACAAAAAUUUCAAUGUGAGCUGUAAUCCAAAAUGGCAAUAGUUCCACGGAUGUUCAAAGAGAAACCCUAGAAUUCAAAACUCACAGCAAAAGCAAUGAUCUCGACAUGUACCCUGAAUCAGAAGCUAUUAAGCAAAAUUAUGAGUUGCAAAUGAUCAAACAAAUGACCAGACAAGGAUCCCUAAUUUUUCCUGCAGCCAAAACACCAAAAGAGAAAAUGGAAGGAAAAUAUUCCAAAUAUUCCUAAUCUUCUCAUCCUUUCCUCAUAUUUCCUGACAAUCAAAUCAGAGAUUGAAAAAAAAAACCAACUUGACGUACCUUGAGAAAACUAGAUCAAGAGAGAAAAUAGAGAAGAAAUGUAUCUCAGACAGUUGGAAAUGCUUUCUCAUACUUUCCUCCUAACCAAACAAUCCUAAAACCCAAAACCCUAACUAACAUUUCAAGACAAUCAGACAUUAAAAAAAAGGAAAAGAAAAAUAACAAAAGAACAGAGGGUUACCUUCGAUCCGAUCAACGAUGUCGAAUGAAAGUGGAGCGUCUUUCCUAGUGUGUAGUCUCCGAUGGAGAGCGAUGGAAAAGGAGAAUGAAGGAGAGAGGUACGAGUGAAAGGGAAGGAAAAUAUCGAGAAUCACUUGGGGGCAUUUUUGGAAUAUUUCAAAAUUUUUGAAGUUUUUUAUUUUUAUUUUUAAACACCUGUUAAGUGAUUCUAUGAAAAAUCACUUUAAUUGUUUUUCCAUAUUUUUAAAAGCAUUUUUUUAAAAUGCCGUAGUACAAGAACAACUAUGCCAUUUAAUAAAAGUCUUCAAGUGAAUUUGGGGAAAACAAAUUAUUUAUUUGAUAAGUAUUUUCUAAAAUAAUUCAGAAAAAUAAUUUUUAAAAACAAUUUUUUAAAAUUAUUUUAUAAAAUAAAAAUUUAUUUAAAAAUUUAAAAUAUUUUUAAUUUAUUUUUAAAUAUAUUUUAAAAAUAAUAUCUAUAUCCACAAUUUUAAUUUUAAUUAUUAUAUAUAUUUGUAUAAUUAUUUUUAUAAAUAUAUUUUAAAAAAUAAAUAAAAAUAAUUGAAAAUAAUUAAAAAAUAUUAUCUAAAAACAUUGUAUUUUUUAUAUUAUGAGAAUAAAAAAAUAGAAAAUAGUUUAUAGUACCAAACGUAUUUUGUAUUUUUUAUUUUUUUUAGAAAAUAAAAAACUGUUCUUGAAACCGGUUGCCCAAUGGGCUCUUUGAGUUGUUUCAUUUCUUACUCUCUGCCCAAUCAUUUGAGCACACGUCAUCAACCGCAGAACAACAAGAGUAGAACGGGGGCACCAGAUAAAUAUGUAAUUUCUUACAUGUAAACACACUCUUAGAUUUCAAAAGACUUAAAUCACUUUUUUUAUAAUUUUUGUAAUGCUAAUUUUAAAAAAAAAAAAAAAUUCACAUGUGCUUUAGAAAACCUCAAGUUUUUUUCUUUAUUGAAAGUUCAUUUCAAUAUAUUUCAUAUUUUCUCUUUUUAAAAUUAAAAAAGUAGUAUAGACAUUUAUAUAAGUUAUAAGAAUUUUUAGAAUUUUAUAUUGAAAAUGUAAUGAUUUUAAAAACUAUUAAAAAAGAUUGAGGUAUCAAGAAAAAAUUCAUUACCUCAAAUUUUAAAAUUUUAAAAAAUUUGUUUUUAAAGAGAUAAGAUAAAUCUAUAUUUUUUGUUUAAGAGAUUUUCUUAUAUAAAAAUAUUAUGAAAUAAAAUAAUGAGAAAAAGAAAGGAAAGAGAGAAUAAAUAAAAAUGCUCAAAUAAAAAUAAAAUUGUAUUUCAUUGGCCAGUUCCCUCAUUUCAUAGAGAUUCAAGAAGAGAUUUAUAUCAAUAUGGAUGAUCAUCCACAAGUUCUCACAAUCCAAUAAAUUCUCAUAUUUUAUAACACUCCCCUUUAAAUAAUCAUAAAAAUAUGUCUCGUUAAAACCUUAUUAGGAAAAAACCCUAUAGGAAAAACCCUAGUAAAGGAAAAAGAGUACAAUAUUAUUUUGGACUACUAUAAUUAUCUUGUUAAAAACCUUACCAAUAAAACCUAAUGGGACAAGACUUGGACAAAGGGAAAAAAAAGUAUAGUAUAGUGAUAUUCUUAUCAAUUAAUUCCCUCCUCAUGUUGACAUGAUUAUAUUUUCUCUAGUAGCGUAGCAUGAAGAUCUUUGAGUUGAUGUAUUCCAAUGAGCUUCUUAAUUAUUGCAGUUGACAAUGCCUUUGCGAAUAAAUUUGUUAAAUUGUUACUUGAUUUUACUUGUUGAACAACAAUUUCAUUACUCUUUUGGAGUUGAUGAAUGUAAAAGAACUUGGGCGAUAAAUACUUAAUUUUAUCACCCUUAAUGCAUCCUUCUUUAAUUUGUGUGAGUUGUAAUCUAAAAUGGCAAUAGUUCCAUGGAUGUUCAAAGAGAAACCCUAUAAUUCAAAACUCACAACAAUAGCAUUCUCAAUUUAUAAAGCACUAGGAGUCAAAUCCAAGCCCUUUUUGGAUCACCAAGAAAAUAAAGAAAAAAAUAAAAAAUAAAUAAAAAUAAGAACAUAUUUUGAUUAGUGCCUAGAGCCCUAGAUGGUGAAAAAUUUAGAAUUUAAUUUUUCUUUCAUUUUCUCAUUAUUCCCUCACUACCCAAAUGAUUGUCCAUAAUCUAGAAGGUCAUUAAACUAAUUGGGAAUACAGAUUGGAAGAGUACCUUGAACUCAGAGAUCGACCAAAAGGUUGCAUUUGGAGAAAGGAAAGCUCGAAUGCUUUCGAGUAAAGAAAGAUGGGAGAUUCUUCUACUGCCUGGAAAGCCCUGAUAAGUGUAGCACGUUAGUUGGGUCGAGUGAUAGUGGGUCGAGCCUCAGUCGGGCCAAUUUUUGGACCAUCAUUGUGCCGCUCAUGUCUAAUACAUUGUAAGCCUCUUUCCGAUAAUUUAGUCCCAAUGGAAUAAAGCUAGAGAUUUCAAUCCACAUUUAAUUUAAGGAGAAUUCUACAUUGCCUCCGAAGGUAUCAUGCCCCCGUUUUGUUUCAGUUGUUGGAUGAAAUAGAUUUAAUCUCAGCCAUCCAAAUGAAAAGGUAAAAAAAAACCUGGUUGAAACCAGGUACUUCCUCCUCUUAUUCUCUCCCCAUUUUCCCGUUUUCCCCCCCUAAUUUGCUCUCUUCUCCUCCAUAGCUGACCGUCUAGUUGCUCCCCCUCCUAUUCUCUCACUCUUUUCCCGUUCUCCCCUUUCCCUUAAUUUGCUCUCUUCUCCACUCAUUCUCCAUAGUCGACCGUGUAGCAGUCCCCCCUCCUAUUCUCUCACCCAUUUCCUGUUUUCCCCCAGCCUAAUUUGCUAUCUUCUUCACUCAUCCUCCAUAGCUGGACCGGGUAGUUAUUCCCCCUGUUGUUCUCUCCCCUUUUUCCCGUUUUCUCCCCCCUAAUUUGCUCUCUUCUCCACUCAUCCUCCACACCCAAGUCGAGUAGUUGUUCUCUCCCCCUUUUGCCGAGUUUCCCCAUAUUUUCCUAUCUUCUCCAUACUCAACUCUUCUCUGGGUACAAUAUUGUAUCCAUUAUAUUUCAUGUUUUUUGUUAGCUUUAUGGAUUGAUCACAUUAAUGAAAAAUAAUGUGGUUAGAUCCAUAAUUGAACAUUAAAAAUAAUUUAUAUGUUAAUUUUGUCACCAUUUAAACUAUAGAAAGAUUUAGGGAGGUUUUUGUAAUGGUAAUGAUAUUUGUAUUUUAUUUGACAUUUGAUUGAUUGUGGUAAGAUAUGAAUAUAAAAUUUAUUGAAAUGUGAAAAAAAAACUUAUGUUGAGAUAAUGUGGUGGUGGAAGUAUAUUUGAUUUAUUAUAUCUGAAAUUAUAUUAUAAAAAUUGACUUAAAUGAUUUGAUUUAAUUUAAUUUUUAGGAGCAAACGCGAUGGUGUUAAAGUUGCUAGAAAUCCAAAGAGGCCUAUUGGAGCUUAGAUACAUUACUAGUAAGGGAAAAUAGAAAUAUGUAAAAGAAUAUGUUUUUUUGUUUAUUUUUCGUGGUUUUUAUAGUUAUAUUUGUUUAAAAUUGUUUUGUAGUAAAAAUCAAUUAGCCAUGAUCAAAGAAAAUGAUAAAUGAGUGAAGAUAAAUGAUAAUGUAAAAAGUAAUAUUGUUGUGGCUAAUAUAAUUAAAUUUUAAAAUUAGAAUUUAAAGUAAGUGACCAAUUAAUGUAGUUGAGGAAAAAAUUGAGCAAGAAGCGGAAUGCACUUUCAAAAGUAGAAAAAGAAGAUUCCAUGGCAAAGUCAAAAGAAAGUUCAAAACAAUAUUCGCUUUAAAAGGGUGUGGGUCCAAAGGUAAUUUUUUUUUAAUGAAUAAAAAGAAUUCAUUACUUAUGUAUUUGUUGCAAAUUAUAUUAAUGUAAACAUGUUUGAUGUUUGUGUAUCUUUUCAGUUAUAUCUUCAGACUCGAUGCUUACCCGAGCGAAUGAUUAGAGUUAUUGAAGAAUUAGAAUCAAAGCAAAAGCAAUCAUAGAAGAAAUAGGAUUUGGUAGCUUCUUACAACUUCGAUGUAGGAAAUUUGAUCAUGGGUUAUGUCUUUGGUUGAUAAAUAAUUUCAAUUUGAACACUUAUAUGUUAGAGUUGUAUAAUACUUGUAUCAAAUUAUCCUCCAUUGAUGUUGAAUUUAUCAUGGAAUUGAGGGCAAGAGGGUUGAAGAUUGACAUGAACAAAGAUGUUAGCCAUAAGAAUGAUUUAUGUAAAAAAUAUUGUGAUAAAAAAAGGGCGAUCGUCAUUAGUGUUGUUAGAAAAUCUAAUUAGGGAGGAUAAAGAAGGUGGAAAUGAUUUCAAAGUUCGUUUUGUAUUAUUUGUGUUGGGUGCAUUAUUGUGCCCAACAAUGAGCUUUUUGUGAAAUGUUCUUUUUUACGUCUUGUGGAAGACAUCGAUUCAAUAAAGAAGAUGAAUUGGACUAAGUUUGUGUUGUCUUAUCUUGUGCACAGGAUCGAAGAGUUUAAGAGGAAACAACAAAGUGGGGUUUCCGGUUACUUAUUGUUUUUAAUGGUGAUGUCCUUGUACAUAAUUUACAUCAUAGCUAAUUUCGAAUUUGUUAUAAUAAAAUUUGUGAACUAACUAUAUAUCUAUGUAAAAUAUAAUUGCAGUUAUUCUACGACGAGCAUAUAUCGUUUGAAGAGAAAUUUCUACCGCUAUAUACUUGACCUUCUCCUCGGACUACUGCUUGAGGAGAUGAUGAAGUACUGGAUAUGAAACGAAAAUUGAAAAAACUCAGUGGAUAUGUAAAUGACAAUAUAAAUUAUAGUUUUGAAAGUCAUUUAAUAUUGGUUUAAGUUUUUAGUCAUUUUAAAUAUGAUAUGUGUUAUAUUUUGAUGAAUAUACUGUAGGUGAAAAUAUGGGUGAUACAAAAUGACAUAAGGGAUUGCAUUGAUGAAAAUGAGAUGACAAUGGAGGGGGAAAAUGAGGAAGAUGAGAAAUUUGAAAUCAAUCCAAACAAAGAUGUUAUUAAACGAGUAAGUUUUACAAUAUUCAUCGUGAGUAUCAAUAUUAGUAGUGAACCCUUGUAUUAUGAUGUUAUUAAUCAAGUUCCUAUAUAUCACUAGGUUGAUGGUGGGAGCUUAAUGGAGAUGAAUAAAACCUUUCAACAAUUAAAGACACAUCUAAUUAAUUUGUGUUAUGCUGAAAGUAGUAGUAGUUGUGAAAAAGUUUUUACUGAAUUUGAGGAGAAAUAUACUAUAUUGAAAGGUCUCUUCCUUGGGUCAAGCGAAAAACCUUUGAGAGAGCACGAGGAGGGAACGAAGAAUGACAUUCUCUCAUGCGAGAGAAGUUCGGAAGAUAAAGACAAUAAGAAAGGAAAUGAACAUUAUGUUCACACUUUGUCAAUUGACAAGUUAUGCAUUGAGGACUUGAAUGGAAAGAAUGAAGAUGGAUGUGCUACAUCAAUUGAAGUGCAUAUUAUUCCCAACGAAAAUGUAGAUAUUUUACUACUUCCAAUCAAAAGAACUAGAAAAGAUUAUGGAAAGGUAUAUAUCAUAUAAAAAAAAUUAAUUUUCUUUACAACUACUUAACCAUUACAUGGUAAAUAGAUGUAUAUUAAUGACAUUUUCCAUAUUAGGAACCAUUACGAGCACUAUGUGGUUUUCUCGAGCAUGUCAUGAAAACACGUACAUCGAGGGAGACGAAACCAAGUAAAUUCAAGGUCUCCUCGUUUGUACACAAUUUAAGGAAGAUGGAAAAACGUCAAGUAUCAAAGGUAUAAUACAAAUAGUUUAAUAUCAUCUUCUUAUUUUUUAUACUCAACAUAUAUAGCUAAUAAUUAUGUCUUGUUUUCGAUUUAGUCAAUCCCCAUGUCCAUUCGUGAAGACGUGGUGGAUGCUCAAUCGUUUGAUGUACUUCAAUCUCUUGUUGCUAAUUAUGUUUUCAAUAAAUCAUUGUCAGAAAGGUUAGUGUCUAGAACAUUCAUAGAUGUGUUGUUACAAUUUUAGCCUUCAUAUUUUUCCAAUUCUGUAAAGAAUGGUUUAACAUAUUGUUGUUGUAGUGAGCUUCUUGUUGACUUUGAUCAUGAACAUGGAGUUCGUGGAGAUUUUGAGUGUUUACGUCACAAGCAAAAUUUGUUGGAUGUUGUAAGUAUCUACUUGAUUUAUAUCAAAUGAGUGUUUUAUUAAUGAAAUAAAUUUACUAAAGUUAUUGUUUAACAACAGGUAAUAAAUCUAGAAGAAUCAAAGCUAAAUUAUUUUAAGAGGCAAUUCAUAGGCAUACGAAGUAUAAGAUGCUAUCUUCCCACAACAUUUUCAAUAAGCUCAGAUUUCUCUUGUUGUUUAGUUACAUAUUAAGUAUAAUAUACUAAUGUUCGUAUUAUGUUGUAUUAUUAGCAAAUGAUUUUGUGCGAGAGUCCUCAAUCUUUUUUUGAUAGAAAAACAGUCAUCGUGAGUAAGUACAUUAGCAAAUUGGAUGAUUGCAAAAAAUGUUAGUAAUUAUUUAUAAUGUUUAAUGGCAUAUAUCAAAGUUAGAGUAAACAUUGUUUUCACCUACAAUAGAGUAGAUAUUUUGUGCUCCAACUCAUAGAUAUUAUUUUUCUAACUUUACAGUUAUUUAUUCCAAUGCAUGACGAUUGUCCGGUCAUUGGUAUCUUUGCGUCAUUGACUUUAAAAACUCUCAUAUCCAAAUUUUGGAUUCAUUGCGAUCAAGGAGUCGGGAUGAGUUUCGGUUUAAGAGUGUCAAAACAGUGGUAUGCUUUCAGCUAUUUUUUUUCCUUUUAAUUAAUUUUAUUUUCUCUUGCACAAUUAUUAACACUUUCAAAAUAAAUUAGGUUGAAUUUUGUCAAACAUUCUUCAAAUUGUAUGACAUAGGGAAAGAUGUCUUCCAAUUCUCCAUUGAUUGGGCUCCUUCGAUUCCGACCCAAGAUAAUGGGUUAGUAUCAAUACAUAACUCACAUUAAUAUUGUUUAUUUGAGUUAUAAUUAUACAUCCAUUUAAUAAGUUGUUUUGUUUUUCUUUUAUUUUUCUUAGGUGGGAUUGUGGAGUGCAUGUCAUUAAACAUAUGCAGACAUUCGAAAAUGGUGAUUGCAUGAAGGCCUCUAACUUAUGUAAUUAUGUUAAAAUACGUCGGGAAAUAGCAAGAGAUUUAGUUUUACACGAGGGAAAUAGAGAAAAACAAACCAUUUUGGCUAUUGUUUAUACAAAUACAUCCACAAGAGCAAUGAAAAGAUUAUUAUUAUGACAUUUGUUGUUUUUCUAAUAUUUAUCAUUUUCAUCUCCACGUAUGGUCAUGUUGUGACCUUGGAUGAGCAUACAUGGUUCAUGAUUAAGUCCGUUUUAUUUGAAUAUGUUAUACUCUUUUUGGAAUAUGGUAGGCAAAAUGAAAUUGUAAUAUAUAGCAUCAUUCAUUUUCGACAUGUACGAUUUUCUACGAUCUAUUAGGUAUUUAGAUGUUUUUUUCUCCUUAUAUACUUUGGGUUGUUUUUCAAAUAUAUAUAUAUAUAUAUAUAUAAUUAUUUAAUAGUUUAAACUUUGACAUUAAGUAAUAACUUGUCUUAGCUUAUGGGUAUGGAUGUGUUUAGGCACUCUAUACCAUAUAUACAUAGUGUUUUGAUCUAAAAUUUCAAUUCUUCCAUGUCUCAGUAGUAACAUAUUGUUUCAUGGAGCUAAGGUCCAAAAUAUGAAAGAAACAAGUGUUUUCAUGACUCUAUCACACAAUCAAUUUUAUUCCACUUAAUCCCUAUUUCAUGGACAUAUAUAUCUUUCUCUUGGUACAUAAAUCCAAUUUUCAAAAAAAAAAAAUGUUAAAAAAAUUGUUUUUUUUUUGUUGCAAAUAAAAAAGAAAAUAAAAUAUAGUUAAAAACUAGUUACAAACUUAUAUAUUUUCAAAUUAUGUAAUUUUUAUAUUCAAAAGUUAAAAUAAAUUAAAUGAGCUUGUAAUAUCUUAUAAAAAUAAUUUAUUGACUUUAUUUUUUUUUCUAUUUUCCUCUCCAUUUUUUUCUCUUAUAUUUUUUCUCAAAUUUGCUAGAACCAAACAUGGCCUUAAUUUUCCAGCUAUUAUGAGUUUAAACAUAAAAAUAAAUAAAAACACCAAUCAAAGAGAUUUUAAUUGCAUUUAUUGGUGAAUUAAUUGCUUGAAAUCAAAACCAUGCACCCCUUAGCAAUAGGAGUCAUAAUGGGGUUUGUCAUGUUUGGUUACUAAAAGGUACUAGGAAAAAAAAAAGUUGUAAAAAUAAUAAUUUUUUUAUAUUUGAUUUUAUCAAGGGUAAGAAAAAGUCAAAUAUAAUAAAAAUUAAUAAGAAGUUAUAUAUUUUAAAAUUAUUUAAUCUUUAUAAUAAAUAAAAUAAAUUUAAAAUAAAAUAUAAAAAUAAUUUAUUAACUUUUAAUAUUUUUUAUUUUCUUUUACUUUUGUUUCCUUAAUUUUUUUUUUCUCUUUUCCUCCUACUUUCCUUCAAAUUUUACAAGAAUCAAACAUAAUCAAGGUAAAAAAAAAAAAUCAUAAAAUCCUAUCAAUUUAAACAUAACUCAUUUAAUAGUUAUGUGAGAUUUCUUUCACAUGAACACAUCCGUAUAAACUAUUUAAUAAACAUAUUAAAUGAGCAAGAAAAAUGACACGAAUAGUCCAUUAACACACCAUAAUAAAUUAAAAUAAUUAGAGCAUAUAUACGUAAUAAGAUAUGGAAGUUGAUGGAUCUGGGUUCACUACGCCAUUGUUUCAACCAGUUUACCUGCAGAAAACCAAGGGAGUGGGAGUAGGGCUAAUAGAAGAAGAGGAGAAAAAUGAAACAAAUGUACAGACACUAAUUUAGCUCAAACAACCCAUCAAAGACCAUUUACAUCAAUUACAAGAAGCAAUUUACAAGAUAGAUAGAUGGGAGGCACAUAUAUGACUAGGUAUGAUCAUCAAGUAAAAUCAUAAAUACUGUAAGAUCCAACCCAUUAUGUACAGAGACCAACCCUAAAACCACCUGGUAGGUGUAGUUAAAAACUGGACCAGAAAAGAGUGCAAGGUUAGAAAAUAUUAGAAAUCGCUUCUAGGGGAACUGGAAUAUAUCAUCCUCGUCCAUAUCAAAAACAUCGCCAAUAGACUUUGAUGUCUUUAGAACAUCGCCAAUAGAUGAUGUUUCACUCCCUGUGCCACCAAUGCCAAGCUCAGACUGCAAAAACUAAUCAAAUAAAUCAGAGGGGACUCAAGAGCCCCAUAAUGUCAAUACUUUUAGUAGGGAUUGAUCCCCGUUACUGUAACAAGAUAAUAAGUCGUCUUCUGGCAAUAACUACUAUGAAAAGUCAUUAGGAUCAAGUCAUAUUAUCUUUCUUACUGCCUGAUGAAUUGAAGCAAUUUCGGUUUGUCGGGUUUUCCAAAUAACAAUAAGAGCAUGCACUAGACUUUUAAUGUAACACAUUCAUUAGGUUUUUUAUUUCUACUGGACAGAUAAAAGCAUGCAAUGUUGGUGCAAAGAAAAGAUGAGCUGCCAUGCAAUGGGUUCAAGUGUACAAAGAUGAUAUUUUAUUAAAUGAAUUUAGUAUUUAAUUUCUGAAAGUUCUGACAGAAGAAUAUCUAAAAUAGAUGGUUAAAACUCCUUACACAGAGCAGAACUUUAAGUCUGCUCUGAUAUUUUAAUUAGGAGGAGAUCAAACAGCUCUAGUCUUUUUACUCAAGCGAUGUGUAGUGAGCACCUAACAAAUAAAACUUGAACCGUAGUCCUGACCUAUAGAAGAGACUUUCUACAAGUAAGAAGAACAUUCAUGAAGUCCGUAUACCUUCAUGACAACAGAACUAGUCUUCAUCAAGUCAUUAAAAUCACAUGACUUGCACAGAAUCAUACUUUAUUAGAGGGAUCAUGUGCUUAGUCCUCGACUUCGUUUUUGAGAUACUACAAAUUAUUAUUGAUUCAUUUGAUGUAGAGGUAUGAGGGCUUCAACCUUCCAACACCAAAUGAAAACUCAUGCGUGGAGGAAAAAAGUGUCAAGAUUAGAGGGGCCAGAACACAGGGAUCAAGAAGAUGAUCACUAGCCUAACAUUGAAAGUCUCAGGGGAGUGGCUGUAGACAUCUCCCCUAGAGACUUGCGAUUGAAUUCUAUCUUCACUGGGGUUGGAGGUAGAGUUCAUGGUUGCCUUUGGACCAGAGGAAAAAGGAAAGAAUAAAGGGACACUAAUGCUAGUGUCAUAUAAGUUAUCUAGUAGAUGCAAAAUAGGGUCACCUACAGUUGUAAUCAAGACAACUUUGCCAUGAAUGAUCUAUAUGCU